GUGGCGUGGGCCGGGAAACUGGCAUGCGUUGCUCGUGGUGGGCAGUGGGCAGUGUCGACAACAACGCCUGGACUAUGCAACAGUAGCCCGGAGAUCCUCUUGCAGCCAAGAUGGCGGAUGGUGGCCUCGUGAACGAGGGCAGUCGGACACCGGCCUCCGUGAGCCGCGAGCAGGCGUCUUCCUCGCCUCACCACGACACGCAGGGCCGGUGCAAGAAACCGCCCUCUGGGGGCAGGCUGCUGCUCCACUGCGGAGGGCAGGAAACAGACCAACAGCAACUCGAGGAAUGGACCGUCGGGAGCCGGCAGCUUCCUCCGGGGCGUGAGGGACGGCACUCUGACACCGCGCUGGCCGGGUCCCCUGGAACGUGUGUGGCCACCGUGCCGUGCCGUGCCAGAGGAGACCUGCAGAUCGUCUCCGAACUAGAGAUGCAGUCUUGCACGAGACUUCAGACCACGUGUGCAAGAUGUCAGUCCAAGUUUGAGCAAGAGGCAGCCGUGUACAGCUCGCCUGCUAUGGUUAUGGUGCGCCACUAACCGUAAACCUUCAAAAGGUGAUUUAGUUCAAUGUUCAUUAUCAAAUAGUAAAAAUUUUAAAACUGUUUAAGUGGUAUUUUGAAAUUAUGCACACACAUUUGGCAAGUUCAUUCAGAGCCUAUUGAAGUCAUGGUGAAUGCUAAAUUAAUAUUCUGAGAAAGCCAACGCACUGACAGACUUCUGUUCAUUCAUUAAUAUUUUACCUAGGGUAGUUGGAAAAAAUAUAUAUAUAUUUUACUAAAUUAUCUGAUUAAUCCUAAAAGCACUUUGUAUUGUAAUUUUUUUUCUGUCAUAUCAUAGAGACGGUUAUCUCCUUACUUGUUAGGCAAGACCACAAUUGUUGUUAGGUUAUACCCAGUGCAACUUAGAUAGUUUUAUUAACUGUACUGCUAUUAUAUCAUUUUCUUCCUCAAGCCCUCUUAAAUUUUUAGAAAGGGUGCCAGAUCCACAAUGGCUCCCUCAAUUUAUUUACAUGGACAGUAUUAUCAUUAAGGAUCUGGGGCUCUUCACUUAAGGAAAAAAAAAGUGGGGUAGGAUUUAGUGCAUUACAGAAAGAGCACACAUGAUUGUGUAGUAAAUAUUUAUUUAUUACUCUCAUUAACACAUUUUAUGCUUAAGUGCAUACAAACAUGCAACAAGUAUAACUGCAAGUACAGAUUAUCUCAGUAAAAUAAAAAAAUGUUGAGUGUUUUUAAUAAUUAUAAUUUUGGUUAGUUGCUACAAUAAAAUGCUUGCUAUGAAUGAUGUCAUUUCUUUACAGAACAUUUUGUUUCAGACUAGCCAUGUUUUCCAAACUGCUGCUACAAAUAAUUUAAUGGUGUAUUUAUCACCUAAGGCCUGAACUCAAAAAUAGUUUUUGAUGUUAGAAUUUUAGGAAACUAGUACAGUAGAGUUAACCAUCCAUGUGUUGUAGACACAUGUAUCUCCAAAUUAAAAAAAAAAUACUCUGAUGAAAGUACAGGCAUCACCAGGCCAGGAAAAUGUAGCUAUCUUUUACAACAAACUGUUCUAUUGCAGAAAUAAAAAAAAAACACACGCAUAUAAACUAUGCUUCUGAGAGCAAAAAUGCAAUUCAGUCUCAUAAUUGGAAGAAAUAAAAGUGUCUGCAUAGGCCUGUUGUGGUUGCACUGCCUGCAAUGUAAUCUUUGAUUGUGACAAUUGUGGAAGUUAGCCCCCCUGAACGUGUGACACUACCAGCAUACCCCCACGAGGAUGCUUCAACGCCAGCCAUGUGAGUGGAGGGGGGAACCAUGUGUUUCCUAUAAAGGGGACUAGUGCUAUAAUAACCCGAUUAUGACUUUCAAACACUACUGUAUCAGAGAUUUGGAACGGGAGAAAUGCAUGAUGGUAAUUCUCCAUUGCGAGUGUGACAGGUCACGAGUUGCAUGCCGUGUUGGGCGCUAGGGACCAGACUACGAGACGCUCGCUGCAACGGGGCCCUGGAGUGGACCCUCGCUUUCAACGAUCUUUAAGGUGAGUGUUGACUGAGUCAUCCAUUGCCUGCUUAACUGAGGGGGUGUACCUUUUGUGCUAAUAUUAUUUACACCUCGAAGCGACUUAACACAACCCAGUUUGAUACAGGAUAUUUGCCAGGUGUAAUGAACUUGUAUAAUUUAAAUUGUUUCUCAGCCACUUUAAUAAUUUACAAUUAACCUAACUUUUUAAUUGUCAUCUCAGACCCAUUUUAAGGAUAAAUCCUGGGCACCGCAUCAGGUUUGUAAAAAUUGCACAGAACAUUGUACGCCAGUUGACUGGCGGAAAAAGUAAGUUUAUAUUCGGCCUACCAAUGGUUCGGAGAGUAACCAUAAACCACAUUGUCUAGCAAAUAUCACUGGAAUCAAUCAAAGCAACCUUAGCAUGUGGACUUAUUCUGAUUUAGUCUCUGCAAGACACCCGGUCCCUAACUCAAGGAAGUACAGAUCCCAGCAUCCAGAGCUUUCUGAGGACGAGUGUUGUCUCUAUAACCACCUUUCUAAUGAAAGUGACAGUGAUUAUGAGGGGAUGUCAACAAUUCCUCAACGUUUCAACCAGGAUGAGGUUAAUUACCUCGUCAGAGAUCUUAACCUUUCAAAAGAAGCUUCUGAAUUACUAGCUUCCAGGUUGAAGUUUUACUGGGACAAAAAAAAAACAAAAUUACUUUUUACUGUACAAGAGAAAAAGGGUUUGCUAUUCCAGAAACUUCUGAAGUGUUGGUUCCAUCAAUGACUUGGUACUAUCUUUUUAUAUACUAAUAAUAUUUGUGUAAUUUACGGUAAUAAUAAGAAUUUCAUGUUUAAUUUUUAGAUUUGAAUCGUGGGUUUAACCUAAGAUAACGUAAAUCAUUAUCAUAGAAAUUUGACCUUCUAGGCAAAACCAAUGUCAUAUUUGAAUUCAGGGCACCAAAACUAUUGUUGCUAUUGUUGGCCUGUGUUAUAGUAUUUUAACUUAUUUUUUUGUUCCAUUUGUAACUGUGGAGUACUCCCAGUAAUCGGAUGCUGCUGUACUUGUCUUCAUUUAGAAUACACGAGUGGUCGUUUGACGUUAUUCAAUAAACUUUUCGUGUUUCUCACACUGUCAGUAUUUCACUGUAAUCAACCCUUCCUCUUCUUACCCCCUUUGCGAGGAGGGGGGGCAACAGGGCCUAUGAGUUUUGUCGUAAACUGAUAGCCAACAUACACGGUGAAAUUCAUCCACAAUGCCUUCCCUCAUCAUAUUAGUUCCACUCUUAAUAAAGUGCACAGGUUUUUGUGAAGGACCUGAAGAACUAUUCGUAUUCAAGAAUAAUUUAAGUAAAUACAGUUAGAUUUUACUCUUUACACUGCUAUCCUAUUCCAAAACCCCCGUAGUUACAAAUCUGUCAUAACUUUGUAAUCUUUUCCCUUGUGACACUUCGGUAUUACCCAGCUCAUCAGUGAAUUCCAUUCACCUUCCACUACAAACAAAAGAAUUUAAUUUCAAUUUGCUUUUUAUGAUAAAUCCUUACACAUGUUGAACGAUGAAUGAUGUGAAGCAAUGUGGGUUGGUAAAUCAACACUAUGUUGUUUUGUUAAUUGGAAAUAUGCACACAGUUUCUGAAAUUUUUUUUUUUUAAUGGUUUAAUUUACUUUGGCUCCCUAGGGAGGACUUAAUGCAAAAUUAAUAUAGGCCUUUCAAAUGUAUGGAUAUCAUACAACUCCUUAACAAAUUAAUUUGGGACACUUGCAUUCCAUUAUCGUAAAUAGUGAUGCAACUACAGGCAAGCAUACAUUAGUUUGCAGUUCAACAUUGUAAUAUACAUACAAUACAAAAAGAAUGUUUAACUAGCCAAAAAUGAUGGAUACAAAAACAAUAUCAUGAUAAUCACUUACAAAAAUUACACAAUACUUGCUUUAUCAAAAUAUACGACAUACCCUGUUCAAGAAACAUUGGCACAUUUUUUAAAAGAUCAAUUCGUCUAACAAGUGGAAAAGACACGUUUUAGUACUAUAAAAAUAUCUAGGUUACUUAAGUGAUUUUGGCACACACGAGAGGGACCUUCACAUGAUCAACAGUUUUUAAAACACUUGUGUCGCACUUAUCUUACGAGCCUCCUCGCAACAACACAUGCACACACGUAGAACCCUCUCAGAAUGCCAAAAGCUCACAAGUAUUACUAUUACCUAACACUUGGAUCAUCAGUCCCUGAUGAAUCACAUGGGCCCCACAAAGUAAUAACAGACACAAUUAUACAAUAUUCGUACACAAACCUGCAAUGAAUUUUCAGAUCAGAUGACAUGCUCAGUCUCUCCUUAUUUACUAUGUUUUUCAAAACCCUAUGUCAGAUCCCUGUUGAAAUUAACUUCUUAAGAUUCAACUUAUCAGUUCAUUAGAAAUAAUAAUUUUUUUAUUUCAACUGUUUGCUGAGAAGUUGCAUAACACAAAAA